GGGGAGUGUUUAAAUAAUCAGAACUGAAUGUAGGAAUGUUCCAGCAAUGUAGUUCAAUUUUGAAAAUAAUGCAAAUAGUCCCUUGAAGGAUGCUAAGUUGUGAGGUUGGACAGCUAAAUCAGCUUUUUCUUCUGAAUAAUGGAGAAAAUCAUGCUAGUCUUCUGCCUCUGAUGAUAUCCAGGAGGUAGAAGGUGUGGCUUCUUUGGCUCUUGAGUCUGUGAUUGAUCUAAGACAUUGAAUACACAAUGGAUGUUCAGAAGUAUGUAGAUCAAGUGUACCUGUGUCGUUUGUCUUCUGAUCUCCGACAAGCAAUGGCAAUAGAAGCGCUGAUGCCAGAUCUGUGAGCUAUACUUAAAAACUCUCGGUUUUCUUGCCCUCAAGCUCCAAGAUAACCUAAUUUUCUCUCGGUGGAAACAAUGCAAUAAUUUGACUCCUUCUCCACAUAUAAUUGUUCAGAUGACCUUUCUCCCUGAAACUGGAAGGGAAGAAGGGAAGAAGGGAAAAUGAAGGAGUCACUGUAAGGUUUGCUUUUUAUUCCCUCCUUUGCCUUCUUAUUUUUUUAAAUACUUGCUUCUAUCUCUUUGUCUGAUCUACCAGAUUUGUCAGGCACCUAUAAAAUUACCUUUGCAUGUUCAUGUAUGCACAUACAUUUAAAACCUAGCUGCUCAGUAUUUGUAAAAGAUGAUUUACUUUGGUGUGUGUGUGUGUGUGUGUGUGUGUGAGGGUUCUUUGUUUUUCAAGGACUAGACACAUCAUAUGAGAGAAAAUUACUGCUCAUACUUUAUUGUAGUACACAUAUUACCCUGGG